rnacentral:rRNA from 1 species
UACAGAGGGUGCAAGCGUUGUUCGGAAUUACUGGGCGUAAAGGGCUCGUAGGCGGCCAACUAAGUCGGAUGUGAAAUCCCCAAGCUUAACUUGGGAACUGCAUCCGAUACUGGAUGGCUUGAAUCCGGGAGAGGGAUGCAGAAUUCCAGGUGUAGCGGUGAAAUGCGUAGAUAUCUGGAGGAAUACCGGUGGCGAAGGCGGCAUCCUGGACCGGCAUUGACGCUGAGGAGCGAAAGCUAGGGGAGCAAACGGG